UUAUGUUGUGGACUAAUAGGCAAGUCAUAAAUUUUUGGUAUUUAUAAUUGAGUGUUCGAAUCGCUCCAACAUAAU
rnacentral:tRNA from 1 species